GACGAACGCUGGCGGCGUGCUUAACACAUGCAAGUCGAACGGAAAGGCCCUGCUUUUGUGGGGUGCUCGAGUGGCGAACGGGUGAGUAACACGUGAGUAACCUGCCCUUGACUUUGGGAUAACUUCAGGAAACUGGGGCUAAUACCGGAUAGGAGCUCCUGCUGCAUGGUGGGGGUUGGAAAGUUUCGGCGGUUGGGGAUGGACUCGCGGCUUAUCCGCUUGUUGGUGGGGUAGUGGCUUACCAAGGCUUUGACGGGUAGCCGGCCUGGGAGGGUGACCGGCCACAUUGGGACUGAGAUACGGCCCAGACUCCUACGGGAGGCAGCAGUGGGGAAUAUUGCACAAUGGGCGGAAGCCUGAUGCAGCAACGCCGGGUGCGGGAUGACGGCCUUCGGGUUGUAAACCGCUGUCGCCUGUGACGAAGCGUGAGUGACGGUAAUGGGUAAAGAAGCACCGGCUAACUACGUG
rnacentral:rRNA from 1 species